rnacentral:tRNA from 1 species
GUGGAUGUAGCUCAAUAAGAGAGUGCUUGCUCUACAUCUAAGAAGUUCUGGGUUCAACCCACAGCAUCCCCA